rnacentral:rRNA from 1 species
CUACGUGCCAGCAGCCGCGGUAAUACGUAGGUCCCGAGCGUUGUCCGGAUUUAUUGGGCGUAAAGCGAGCGCAGGCGGUUAGAUAAGUCUGAAGUUAAAGGCUGUGGCUUAACCAUAGUACGCUUUGGAAACUGUUUAACUUGAGUGCAAGAGGGGAGAGUGGAAUUCCAUGUGUAGCGGUGAAAUGCGUAGAUAUAUGGAGGAACACCGGUGGCGAAAGCGGCUCUCUGGCUUGUAACUGACGCUGAGGCUCGAAAGCGUGGGGAGCAAACAGGAUUAGAUACCCUGGUAGUCCACGCCGUAAACGAUGAGUGCUAGGUGUUAGACCCUUUCCGGGGUUUAGUGCCGCAGCUAACGCAUUAAGCACUCCGCCUGGGGAGUACGACCGCAAGGUUGAAACUCAAAGGAAUUGACGGGGGCCCGCACAAGCGGUGGAGCAUGUGGUUUAAUUCGACGCAACGCGAAGAACCUUACCAGGUCUUGACAU